AACGUAGGACGCGAGCGUUAUCCGGAGUUACUGGGCGUAAAGCGCGGGCAGGCGGUCUGACAAGUCUGAUGUGAAAUCUCCGGGCUUAACCGGGAGAGGCCAGUUGGAAACUGACAGGCUGGAGGGCAGUAGAGGUAGGCGGAAUUCCGGGUGGAGUGGUGAAAUGCGUAGAGAUCCGGAGGAACACCAGAGGCGAAGGCGGCCUACUGGGCUGCACCUGACGCUGAGCCGCGAAAGCCAGGGGAGCGAACGGG
rnacentral:rRNA from 1 species